rnacentral:rRNA from 1 species
UAGUGGCGGACGGGUGAGUAACGCGUGGGAACGUGCCCCUUGGUACGGAAUAGCCCCGGGAAACUGGGAGUAAUACCGUAUGUGGUCGAGAGACGAAAGAUUUAUCGCCAAGGGAUCGGCCCGCGUUGGAUUAGGUAGUUGGUGGGGUAAUGGCCUACCAAGCCGACGAUCCAUAGCUGGUUUGAGAGGAUGAUCAGCCACACUGGGACUGAGACACGGCCCAGACUCCUACGGGAGGCAGCAGUGGGGAAUCUUAGACAAUGGGGGAAACCCUGAUCUAGCCAUGCCGCGUGAUCGAUGAAGGCCUUAGGGUUGUAAAGAUCUUUCAGGUGGGAAGAUAAUGACUGUACCACCAGAAGAAGCCCCGGCUAACUCCGUGCCAGCA